GAUCUGUUAGCUCAGCGGGAGAGCACUAUCUUGACAGGGUAGGGGUCGAAGGUUCGAAUCCUUCACAGAUCA
rnacentral:tRNA from 1 species